rnacentral:rRNA from 1 species
UACGAAGGGGGCUAGCGUUGCUCGGAAUUACUGGGCGUAAAGGGCGCGUAGGCGGCCAGUUAAGUCAGAGGUGAAAGCCCAGGGCUCAACCCUGGAAUUGCCUUUGAUACUGGCUGUCUUGAGUGCGGGAGAGGUGUGUGGAACUCCGAGUGUAGAGGUGAAAUUCGUAGAUAUUCGGAAGAACACCAGUGGCGAAGGCGACACACUGGCCCGUAACUGACGCUGAGGCGCGAAAGCGUGGGGAGCAAACAGG